rnacentral:rRNA from 1 species
UACGUAGGUGGCAAGCGCUACUCGGACUCACUCGGCGUAAAGCGCCGGUAGGCGGUUUGGUAAGUCUUUUGUGAAAGCUCCCGGCUUAACUGGGAGAGGUCAAGGGAAACUACUAGACUAGAGUGUGGUAGGGGAUACUGGAAUUCCUGGUGUAGCGGUGAAAUGCGUAGAUAUCAGGAGGAAUACCUAUGGCGAAAGCAGGUAUCUGGGCCAUCACUGACGCUGAGCUGCGAAAGCUAGGGGAGCAAACGGG